GUCAAAAAAAGAAGAUUUAUUUAUGAUGCGAGUGGAGGGGGUUUUUUAGAUCAGGACAUCACACAACACCCGCCCAAAAGAAGGAACCCACGCGCACCGAUCCCAAGAGAGCAGUAUCCAAACAGGCAACGAUCCAGGAGAUAGUGCUACCUGAAUAUGAACUGAAAUCUACAGUUAGGUAAGAUGUCUUUGGCAGCAAGAUACUUUGUUAUAAAUUACUGUAGUAGUAGGUUUGAAACAUAUGUAGCAAUUGAUACUAGACGGAAAUGAAAUCUCUCUUUAGGGAAAGAAAUUAGUUACAUAGCUUUGGGCAAUUAACUCUUGAGCAGACCAUUUUAUGGUAGUGCUGAGGUUCAUGUGUUCAAUAUUUUUAACUGUUUUUAACUUUUGUUACUUGAUUUUAAAGGGAAAAUACCCGUGCACAGUUCACCCUGGUGUAUAAUGUGGAUGGAUUCAAUUAUAUUUUGAUAUGGACUUUGAUGUGUUAACGAAAACAUGGACUGGAAUUUUGUCGACUGGCUAGGCUGCAAAACCCUCCCAGCAGUAGCUGGUUUGUCCAAUGUGAUGUGUGGGGUGGGGUUUAUACUUGUAUUUAAUGAUGUACCACAGAGCAGUUUUUCACACUUGAUAAAGAGCUUUUAAGCUCGAAACAUGUCGUGUAUUCAAUAAAAGCACCUUGCAGCAGUA